rnacentral:rRNA from 1 species
CCUACGGGAGGCAGCAGUAGGGAAUCUUUCACAAUGGGCGAAAGCCUGAUGGAGCAACGCCGCGUGCAGGAUGAAGGCCUUCGGGUUGUAAACUGCUUUUAUAAGCGAGAAAUAUGAUGGUACCUUAUGAAUAAGGUUCGGCUAACUACGUGCCAGCAGCCGCGGUCAUACGUAGGAUCCGAGCAUUAUCCGGAGUGACUGGGUGUAAAGAGUUGCGUAGGUGGCAUAAUAAGUAGCUAGUGAAAUCUGGUGGCUCAACCAUUCAGACUAUUAGCUAAACUGUUAAGCUCGAGACCGUUAGGGGUAACUGGAAUUUCUAGUGUAGGAGUGAAAUCCGUAGAUAUUAGAAGGAACACCAAUAGCGUAGGCAGGUUGCUGGGACGGUUCUGACACUAAGGCACGAAAGCGUAGGGAGCAAACGGGAUUAGAUACCCCUGUAGUC